UUGAAGAAAUUAUGAGUUUUAAACUAAUUUGUAUUAUGUGUUUCACUAGCCAUAUGUUUUUUUAAAUAGUGGUUACAACAUCUAUGACACUAGCUAAACCAUGUAUAUAGAAAGAAAAGGAUGAAAACAAUUAAGAUGAUUAUUUACAGAGAUUGAGUUGAUUGCUGGGGACUGCGGGAGAUGUACGGUUUCGUCGGGGGAGAUGUCAGAAACUCUGUUCUCACAGCACAACUCUUUUUUUGGUGUAUUUUUGUACGGUGUCCAUACACAAUAUUGGUUUCUAAUGUCAAAAUAUCAAUGCUCAUGUGAAAAAUAGUCCUAAAAAGAUAUUCUAUUUAAAAAAAAAAAACUUCAUCAUCUCUCAAAUAAUAAGGUUGAAGCUUUUCAUAGGACUUAUAAAACCCAGGAGGAGAACGACAACAUCAAAGCUUUAUCCCACUAUGUGGGGUCGGCUACAUGAAUCAAAUUACACAAUAAUGUUUGGUCAUAAACCAUAUUUGUAAAACACAUGACAUAGAGAUAAAUUUAUUUUUGGACAGGAAAAGAAGAGAUGAUUAUUAUAUUCAAGAUGAUUGUUUGCCAUCAUGGCACAACAUAUAAUAAUACAGGCGCAAUAGAGAUUAAAUAUACAUAGAAGAUUGUCAGUGAUAUAUAGAGAAGGAAAAAAAAAAA